AUUGAACGCUGGCGGCAGGCCUAACACAUGCAAGUCGAACGAGUGGCGGACGGGUGAGUAAUGUCUGGGACACUGCCCGAUGGAGGGGGAUAACUACUGGAAACGGUAGCUAAUACCGCAUACCAUCGGAUGUGCCCAGAUGGGAUUAGCUAGUAGGUGGGGUAACGGCGAACCUAGGCGACGAUCCCUAGCUGGUCUGAGAGGAUGACCAGCCACACUGGAAAUGAGACACGGUCCAGACUCCUACGGGAGGCGGCAGUGGGGAAUAUUGCACAAUGGGCGCAAGUCUGAUGCAGCCAAGCCGCGUGUAUGAAGAAGGCCUUCGGGUUGUAAAGUACUUUAAGCGGGGAGGCGUUACCCGCAGAAGAAGCACCGGAUAACUCCGUGCCAGCAGCCGCGGUAAUAC
rnacentral:rRNA from 1 species